UCCAUUUAUCCAGGCCUUUUUUAUUCUCAAGUUUGGGAACGAGAGAGGAUGAUCGAAUGUAUGGUUCUCAAGCUCUCAUCAUUCCAUUUCCAAUUCCAAUUUAUAAACCCUAAUUGUUGCAUUUCAUCUUCUCCUUUUCUCCGCUUCCGCAACCGCACAUUUUCCUCUCCCUUCUCAGUUUCUGCUUUUGCUUCCACUGCCAAGGAACCAGAUGACUUCCAUUUCAACUCUUUUUCGCUUGGCCACACAACCUGUCCUGAUUUCCCCAUCCUGUCCUGAUUUCCCCAUCCUUCAUCAGGAAGUAAAUGGCUUCAAGCUUGUAUACUUGGAUAACGCUGCCACCUCUCAGAAAUCUAUUGCUGUAUUGAAAGCUUUGCAGAAUUGUUAAGAGGCUUACAAUUCAAAUGUUCAUCAUGGCAUACAGUCCUUGAGAAAAGUGUUGGGUGAGGAGUUAUCGUUCUGAGGUCCUACCGUUUCCAACAUAAAGCAACUGAUGAGUAUGAGCGGGCAAGAAAGAAAGUUGCAUCUUUUAUCAAUGCUGGAGAAGCUAAGGAGAUCGUUUUUACUAGGAAUGCAACUGAAGCUAUCAAUCUAGCGGCUUGUUCUUGGGGCCUAGCGAAUUUAAAAUCAGAAGAUGAGGUAGUGGAGGGAUGAUAUCAGAUGUAUUUCUUGACCAUUCCACAUUUGCACAACCUCCUUCCAGGAAGAAUUGGCGAAGUAUCUAUAUGAAAAUCUUCGUGCAGUCCCUAACAUUCGCAUAUAUGGCCCAGCUCCCACAGCAAAUGUUCAACAUGCUGCUCUGUGUUCUUUCAAUAUUGGAGACAUUCAUCCAACGGACAUCGCAAGCUUUCUUGAUCGACAGUUAUGUCUUGGACUUCUCUCUUCUUUAUGUUGACAUGCUCGCGUUUGGUCCUUACGAAGAGUUUUUCAAGGCUUGAAUACUAUUGUGAUCUUUAAUCAUGAUUAAUCUUUUAUAUUCUUUUCUUUUACUUGAAUUUCUAUUUAGGACAAGUAUUUGCAAUAGGUCGCAUGUCGAGUUGUCUUGAAACAUGUUAACGACUGAAUAGUUUUGAUGUAAAAUUGAAAGACUCGAACAAAAUCUUUAAUUUGAAAGCUAAGGAACCAAAAUCAAAUAAUGAUGAAAGUUUAGAAUUAAAAUAGAAUUUAAUUUAAAUCCUUUCUUUAACCUUUCCAGUCUCAAGGAUUUGGGCCAAGAUCAUGAGAGUAAUAACUAGAUUGAAUCAUUUACUUUUUAUGGAUCCUUAAAAUAGUUAAAUGCAGCAUGGUGUAGCCAUCAAAGGGCAAAAGAACACAUAUUAAAUAUAUUAAAAGAAGAUGCAAUUGAAUCAUACACCUUGAUUCCAAGAUUUUUUGAAAAGUUGAAUGAAAUGAAUCCAGGUAUGAUCCAUUUUCCUUAGCAAAUUUUUAUCUUUUUCCAUUGUAGAUAGAAAGUGAUAGACAACUAGUCUAUAUUGGAUUGACGAGGAUAGUUGUCUAUCACUGUCUAUAAUAGAUAGACAGGGAUAGUUAUCUACCACUGUCUAUCUAUACAGUUACUAUUCAUGCUGCUAGAAAUGUUUUUAUAUAUUUUUAUAGGUACUUACACUGCUUUAGAAAUGGAUGCUAGUGGUCAUUUCAAGUUUUGCUUCAUGAUUUUUAGUGCAUCAAUCGAAGAGUGGAAGUAUUGUAGACCUAUCACAUAUGUUGAUGGUACAAUUUUGUUUGGUGGCAUGCUAUUAAAACCUCAUCAUUAGAUGGUAGCAAUCAAAUCUUUCCCCUUACAUUUAGUAUCAUAGGUUCUGAAAAUGACGAAUCAUGGACAUGUUUUUUUUAAAUCAUACAAAGUACUUUUGAGGAAUGAGAGAAAUUAGUCAUUGUUUCUUAUAGGCAUCUUAGCAUUCCUAAAGGAAUUUUAAGAGUAUUUGCUAAUGUUGAGUACUGUGUGCAUAUAAUAUCUUUUAAGAAACUUGAAACUUCAUUUUAAGGAUCCAAUGCUUGAUAAUUAUUUCUUUAGUUGUGCUAAUGCCAACACUACUAAUGACUUUGAGUACCACAUGAGAUGCAUGGAGUCAAUCUUCCCGAAUAUUAGAAGUUAUCUUAGUAGUGUUAGGUUUGAGAAGUGGUCUCGGGUUUAUUCACAAAGAAGAAGGUAUGGAACAAUGACAUCAAAUGUUGCAGAAAGUAUAAACUCAGUUUUUAAGGAUGCUAGAGAAUUACCCGUGGCUAGCUUUUUUAAUUCAAUCAGAGAUAUAUUGCAAAAAUGGUUUUAUGAUCGAAGUACAACUGCUUUUGCAAUGAAAACUCCUUUGAUUUCUUGGGCUGAGAACAUAUUAUGAUGAAAACACGAAAAAUCAAGAAGUUU